rnacentral:tRNA from 1 species
GUAAAGUCAGCUAAAACAAGCUUUUGGGCCCAUACCCCAACAAUGUAGGUGAAACCCCCGCCUUUAGUA